rnacentral:rRNA from 1 species
GACGAACGCUGGCGGCGUGCUUAACACAUGCAAGUCGAACGGUGAUGCUCCAGCUUGCUGGAGUGGAUCAGUGGCGAACGGGUGAGUAACACGUGAGCAACCUGCCCCAGACUCUGGAAUAAGCGCUGGAAACGGCGUCUAAUACUGGAUACGAAACUGGCCCGCAUGGGCAUGGUUUGGAAAGUUUUUCGGUUUGGGAUGGGCUCGCGGCCUAUCAGCUUGUUGGUGAGGUAAUGGCUCACCAAGGCGACGACGGGUAGCCGGCCUGAGAGGGCGACCGGCCACACUGGGACUGAGACACGGCCCAGACUCCUACGGGAGGCAGCAGUGGGGAAUAUUGCACAAUGGGCGAAAGCCUGAUGCGGCGACGCCGCGUGAGGGAUGACGGCCUUCGGGUUGUAAACCUCUUUCAGCAGGGAAGAAGCGAAAGUGACGGUACCUGCAGAAGAAGCACCGGCUAACUACGU